rnacentral:rRNA from 1 species
GACGAACGCUGGCGGCGUGCUUAACACAUGCAAGUCGAGCGGUAAGGCCCUUUCGGGGUACGACGAGCGGCGAACGGGUGAGUAACACGUGGGUGACCUGCCCUCAGCUCUGGGAGUAAGCCUGGGAAACCGGGUACUAAUACUGGAUAUGACUCCAUGACGCAUGUUGUGGGGUGGAAAGCCUUGUGCGGCUGAGGAUGGCCCGCGGCCUAUCAGCUUGUUGGUGGGGUGAGGCCUACCAAGGCGACGACGGGUAGCCGGCCUGAGAGGGCGACCGGCCGCACUGGGACUGAGACACGGCCCAGACUCCUACGGGAGGCAGCAGUGGGGAAGUCUUGCGCAAUGGGCGAAAGCCUGACGCAGCGACGCCGCGUGA